CCGAACCGGACCGAUUAUAAAUCAAUUUAUUAUUUAUUUAAUUUAGUUUACAUGUGGCAAGGUUUGAGUGGUUAUUUAAGAGUGUACCAUGCACCCUGCAACACUUGAUUGGACUCCAAAACUACAACUCACGGACACAUCUAAGUUAUCUAACCAUUCUCUCUCCCUCAGAAGAGCCUCUCUCCUAUCUCCCUUCCUUCGUCUCUUAACCCUAGCCGCAACUCCCUCUCAUUAUUUCUCCAUCUCUCUCUGCUACAUCUCCCUCUCCCUCUCCCUCGACGCUAACUCAAGCCAACAUGAUUCGAACUCGGCGAAACCCACCCAUUUGUCCUCAGCGAAAUCCAUCUCUACAAAACCCAAGUUCCAUCAUCGACCACCAGGUUAUGCAAGGAUUGAUUAUGGGAAUAUUGUUGGUGGUGGAUCGUCAUCAUCAGCUGGGUUUGUAAAAUAUGCUAGUUCUGUCUACUACUUUAUUUUUUGUAUUGUCUCCAAUAACUGGUUAUAUAUAAAAAGUUAGAGAGUUGAAAAUUAAAACGGUAUUUUCUAUGAGGCCUAUUUUUUCAUUUUUAUGGUUGUAAAAUAUGCUAAUCUAUUUUAUUGUACAAAAAGACUGUAGCAUACCUUGCUUUGAUUUAGUUUUGUUCAUAGAAUAAUGUAUAUAAAAUGUUGCUUAUGUGAUAUUAAUGCUUGAUGCCUGUUCACAAGAGAGAAGAUCAAAUGUUGUGAACAACAGAAGAGACAUGCGUGGGGAGGAAACCAACAGAGGAAUCUCAUGCCUCCUUAGUGUUUUUAAUACCACACAAAAGCUGGUGCAGCACUUGGGAAGAUACAAGUGUGGAGAAUUGCCACCAAACCACCAGUCCUAUUUUUUCCUUUGUAAUAACUAUAUAAUUAAGCACAAUAAGAUUGUAUUUCUUUGAGAAUCAUGUUCUCUAAUAAUUAUUAUUGCUUGCAGCUUCUUUUCUUUGUAUGUUUUUUCUUUAC
rnacentral:lncRNA from 1 species